rnacentral:hammerhead_ribozyme from 1 species
GAUGAAGAGUCCCAGAAUAGGACGAAACAGUUGUCC